UAGCUCAGCUGGUAAAGAAUCUGCCUGCAAAGCAGGAGACCCUGGUUCGAUUCCUGG
rnacentral:tRNA from 1 species